UUGAUUGCGAAUCGUUGUCUUCAGUGCUGGCCAGCUCUUGGCAAGUGCACGUUGGCGGCCUUUCAUCCACACCCUGUGCACCUUUGGCCUCUUGCUAGCUUCGGUCGGCAGAGGAUUUUUUACACACACACUCGAAUGUAAUGAUAACUUUUGUUGUGCGCAAGCACUAAUAAAUGUA
rnacentral:misc_RNA from 1 species